rnacentral:rRNA from 1 species
GACGAACGCUGGCGGCGUGCUUAACACAUGCAAGUCGAACGGAGAGGCCCUGCUUUUGUGGGGUGCUCGAGUGGCGAACGGGUGAGUAACACGUGAGUAACCUGCCCUUGACUUUGGGAUAACUUCAGGAAACUGGGGCUAAUACCGGAGAGGAGCUCCUGCUGCAUGGUGGGGGUUGGAAAGUUUCGGCGGUUGGGGAUGGACUCGCGGUUUAUGAGCUUGUUGGGAGGGUUGUGGCUUACCAAGGCUUUGACGGGUAGCCGGCCUGAGCGGGGGACCGGCGGCCUGAGAAGGUAGACGCGCACCUGGGGACUAAGAUAGGCACCAGAAUCGUACGGGAGGCAGCGGUGGGGAAUAUGGCACAGUGGGGGGAAGCGAGAUGUAGCGACGCUCCGUGCGGGAUGACGGCUUACGGGUUGUAAACCGCUUUCGAAGGUGACGAAGAGUGCGUGACGGUAAUGGGUAAGGAAGCCCCGGCUAACUACGUG